rnacentral:rRNA from 1 species
AACGCGAAGAACCUUACCCAGGCUUGACAUGCAGUAGACAACGCCAGAGAUGGCGUCUUCCUUCGGGACUGCUGCACAGGUGCUGCAUGGCUGUCGUCAGCUCGUGCCGUGAGGUGUUGGGUUAAGUCCCGCAACGAGCGCAACCCUUAUCGUUAGUUGCCAACAUUUUAGGUGGGAACUCUAACGAGACUGCCUGGGUUAACCAGGAGGAAGGUGAGGAUGACGUCAAGUCCGCAUGGCCCUUAUGUCUGGGGCUACACACGUGCUACAAUGGUCGGUACAGAAGGCAGCGAAACCGUGAGGCGGAGCAAAUCCCCAAAGCCGACCCCAGUUCAGAUUGUAGUCUGCAACUCGACUACAUGAAGACGGAAUUGCUAGUAAUGGCGAGUCAGCAACAUCGCCGUGAAUACGUUCCCGGGCCUUGUA